CACAACGCUCGCCCCCACGCACUCUCAAACCCGUCACCGUCCUGCUCUCACCACGGCUGCCCUGUCUCCCAGCCGUUCCCCAUUCUAGCUCUGUACUCGCCAACUCCCUCUCUCGACAUCCUCCCUACCUCCAGGCUCCAGCGCGAGGACUCGCAGCCCUACUCUUCCUCGCCCCUUCCCGUCGAAUCCGGUCGCCGAACUGCACGAGGAGGCGCUCGAGCUCGUCAUGCUCACGGGCGAGCCAGUCUUAGGCGCCGUCGGAGGCACGGGACUCACUGGCGGGGACGCCCUGCCCUGUCUGGUCUCCCGCGCCCAGCUCCGAGUAUGAAGGCGUGGAGCAAGAUGGCCGUGGCAGCGGGUUGUGGUGGUCGUCCUCGGGGAGGCGGCGACAACUAUGGCGCUGAGUGUUGGAGGUUGGUGCGUCCACGGGGGAAGUUGAAGAGCGAGGGCGUGAGGGGCUGGCCAUCCUCGCGCAACCAGUGCAGUGCAAAGGGGGCUUCAAUCCCGUCUGAUGCAGUUAUUCUUGGGGUUCCCGUAUAAGAGAAUCUACAGUGCUCAGCUCAGCCUACCUUCAGUUCUGACGGCGUCGCCCAUGGAUCCUCAGGUCAGUUUAGGUCAAUUUGGGUACGUUUCCUGCUUUAGGGUCAUGCAAUGUCAAUCUAGGAGCAUGUGAAAAUAAAUUCAGUCAUUAUCUGGCGCGAGGCCGUGCAAAGGCAGGCAGGCAAGAAGGGACGCUGAUCUAUCAUCCAUGGAUUCGCGUUUUCUCAAGCUGGUCGUCUGCCCGGAAAUGCAAAGCCUUCUGAUAGUUGAAUCUCUUAAGUUGUGUGCUAUAGUGAAUUGACACUUUAAUUAUUUGGAAAACUGGCUUGGCUCCAUCAAGACUCGAUCGGCUGAUUUAAAUCUUGAUAAUUUUUCUUCCCAGCGAUCUCAUCCUUUAGAAAAUUCGAUCAUGUAAUUGGCAGUGUAUUUGUGGGCAUAAUUUCAUGAAGUCGCUAUUUAGCAAAACAAAAAAAAAAACAUGCUAGUAAAAAAUGGGAGCGCUCUCCAAGACUAAUCUAAUGCGUUAGUGUAACAUAUGCUCAAGAAUUAUCUCCAUUCCUGUUUCCGAGCUGUGGUUUGGUCUGGGCCAGGGUGAUCUUUCCGAGCUAGAUAUGAGGAUGAACUUAGUUGGUUAUAGUGAUCUGCUUCUAUCUGCCAGCUGCAGCCAUAGACACAGCUUCUGUUUUGAAUUUCCUGUAUAUUUCAUACUUGAAGACAAUAAGACUGAUCAUGUAAGCGCAGCUGCCAUCUUCUGCUAAUGUUCCAAUCAUGAAAGUAGGCACAGCUAUAAUUGAGAGUUUAUCCAGAUCGAUGAACCUCGAGCAAGCGGCCGUGACCCACAUCACCUGACCUCGAGCAAGCGACCGUGACCCACAUCACCUGACCUUGACCCACAUCGAACAAGAGUGCAAAUCGACCAUGACGUCCAGCCUCGGCCACAAGUAUUUCUUCACCCACCGCUGGUAAUUUUCUGGUAUUUUGCUUCGAGUUGUCCGAUGAGAGUUCAAAAUUGUUUCUCAUAAUUAUAUUUACAAAUCAUUGGGUUCAAUCAAAGUUCUCAUGUUACAUACAUUGCUCCCUUUCAGAACAAAUUACAUUACAACUACUAGCAUUAGUCAAAUUGGAGAACUAGUGCGUUGAUUUUGUGUGUGGAUCAACCUGCUUGAGGACCUGGGGUGCAGCACACUGAUAUUCUCCAUUGAUUAUGUAGUGCGCGCUAUUCAGGAAAGUGAGUACAGCUGCAGUUUUGGCCUCACAUGUGCUAGCUAAUUUGGGUGUGAGUGAUAUUCACGGAGGCCAUUCUAUGUGUCCGGCGAACUGCCCCAUCUAUAUAAUUCAUGAUUUAGUUGAUAACUUUCUUGUGCUUUUUCUUGCCACAUAGAAGGGCAGAAUAAGGAUAGAUAAGGUUGUAUUUUUAUUGACCAGCCCCCUUCUUUAAUAAUUUUUUUUGUGCUAAUUAAUACGUCUUUGGUUUUCCCUCUAUGAAUCUCCAUUCACCAUUGUCUAAUAUUUUGUGCAGCCUUUACUAGACAUGUUGAAAUUAUAUUGCCGUCUCUAACUCUGAAAACUCCAGGCCAUGUUUGAUUAAAAUAGGAGCCUGGGCGAUGGAGUAUGAAGGCACCUUCAUACUGUACAUUUGUACUGAUGUAUCAACAUGUUGGCAUUCACAUCAAUCAUGUAUAUUUUACAAUCAGAUUUGCAUGUUACAUUCAGACUGAAGUUUACCUUACCCAUGUGCAUAUGAAGCAUUGAAGCCGGAAGUCAUGUGAUCAAAAGGAUAAGCACCAGCAACGAGGAACUGGGAAGGAGAGGUUGAUACUUGAGAUAGGUUCUACGAUAGCAAUGGUGGUGGCAGCGUCUUGCAAUUCACAUAAAUGGGGUGGAGAAUAGCAAGGAUUAAUCUUCAAAUCCAACUAGCCAACACUUCACAAUGUAUGGCUACGAUGGUGGCAGAAUGGAGGAGCUCAUUGUGUUCUGUAAGAUGGCUGUGUGGUAUGUGGAGUGAAGAUGCAUCUAGCAUCAACUUCUUAGUUAUUGAGGACACCUUUACUUGGUGGUGCUACUGGCACCCAAAUAUCUCAUUUCUCUUGAUUAUAUAGUGAAAGUAAUUCACUCAUGUUCGCCCAAAUUCCCAAAUUUUUAUAUUUGAAAAGUUUGGUCUGAUCAAAUAUGUUAAAUAUUGACACAUACUCCCUCCAUCCGUAAUUACUUGUCGUUCAAAUAGAUGUGCUAGAUACAUCCGUUUGGCCGAUAAGUAAUUCCGGAUGCAGGGAAUAUUUGACUAUGCCUAUUUUUUUUAUUGCUCUUGGUGGGAAGGGAUAAGUGUUAUGAAUUGUUGCUAUUGUUGUGAGAAACAUAUAUUGUUGAGCUUACAGAUAAGCACAUAGAGGAUGAAAAAUAUAAUAUUACUUAUGUGUUGUUGUGCUAUUUCAUCUCCUGAAUUCGAUGCAAUGAAGUGAAUAAGGAGGUGGUGCUCAAGGGAACAAAGGGUAGAAGAAUAUACGAAUAUACAAUCUGACCUGUUAGGAGUGGCUUCACAAAAACUAAGGUCUAAAAAGUUUGGAUGAUGCACAUUAAUUGAGUUUUUUGUUAAUUCAUUUAAUUCCAAAGUAUAUCGCAAGACUUGCUUUGCUGAUGCCAAAGCCCAUUAGCAGCAAUGCAAUGCUUUUGAUUUUGAGCAAAGUUAUACAGCCAAGGAAACUGGAUUUCCUUUCCAUCGAUGUAAAUAUUUUACUGCCCCCUAAUCUUUCUCCUGACCCAAUAUAUUUGCAAAUAUCUAUGUAUUUCUGAUCUUUGUGGAGGCUGCUUAUCUCACAGUUUUUUCUGUCUAUCCCACCUAGUAGGAAAAUAGAUUGUAUAUAGUAUUAAUUCAGUCGAACAACAUGAGUAUCGUGCCUGCCUACUGUAGUUAUUUUUGACAAUAUGAUUUGUUCACACAUCAUUACAAGGUUCCUUAAAACUACCUUUGUAGAUAUUUCAAAUCAAGGUCUAGGAGGAUUCAGCCAAUCAUACUUUCAAACCAGCAGAGAAUGUGAAAGAAAAUAUUUGUAUUUAGGCUUACUAACUGUUAACAAACAAUGCGGUUCUCAUAUGAAUGUGUGUAAUUUUAUUCUAUUCAUCACUGUGUAAAUCACAAGAGAGCUGUGCAAUUAGGUUCUUGUCAUACUGGUGAGGAUAGUGCACUAUUCCCAUAUUGCUUUGCUCAAUAUUGAAGCACCGGGGCCUUCUUGCUCUGUGCAACAACUAACACUCUUUAUUGCCACUAUGGCCGUGAAUCUUUAACCAUACGGAUGUGCUCGAGCUGUUUUAUAGUAUCACAUAAUG